UACGUAGGGUGCAAGCGUUGUCCGGAAUUAUUGGGCGUAAAGAGCUCGUAGGCGGUUUGUCGCGUCGGCUGUGAAAACCUGGGGCUCAACCCCGGGCCUGCAGCCGAUACGGGCAAACUAGAAUUCGGUAGGGGAGACUGGAAUUCCUGGUGUAGCGGUGAAAUGCGCAGAUAUCAGGAGGAACACCGGUGGCGAAGGCGGUUCUCUGGGCCUUACCUGACGCUGAGGAGCGAAAGCGUGGGGAGCGAACAGG
rnacentral:rRNA from 1 species